ACGAGGUUUAGCAAUGCUAUUGGUACCAACGUUCGAGAAUCUUUUUCCAUUCGUUAUGGAUCUUGGAGAGAGGUACCAAUAGAAACAUGAGAGCUUGUUAAGGAUCGAUUAUUGAUGAAAAAUUUGUUCAAAGAGUAUAGGGGGAACUACACAAACACCAGAAAAAAUAUGCAAGUCCUGAAGAGGCACGAGCACACCUGAUCGCCUUAAGAGAAUCCACGUUGCAACAAGUUUUAUGCAACAAGUUUGAAUCCGCCGACUGGAGAGUAAUAAAUUUUGUGUUUUUUUUUUUCUUUGUUUACUUACAUUUCAAUUACUCUAACGAAGUUUAAUUUCUCAUUUUCUUAAAAAGUGGCAGAGACAAAUCAAAGGAAUAGGUCAACCUUAAAGUACACUCAUACAGCUGGUUCUAAAACUUUCAUACGCAUAAGAGAAUCCACGAUAAGUUGGAUAAAGUAUACACAUACAACUGGUUAAAGUACACUCAUCUCAAUAUCUCAUUUUCUUGUGAAUUGUUUUACAGAAAGGACCCGACGAUCAACCAAUGGACCUAGUGGACUUAUUUAGGCAAACACACUGUAGGAGUGAUAACUCUUUUGUUAAUCAGGCUGCGAAUGAUGGAUAUAGUCAAAUGGUUGAGCUGAGAGAAUCCUCCCCCCAAAAAGGGUAUGAACGAAUAUCAAAUGAAGAAAUAUGCGAGUAGGUGUUGGACCCAGGAGUGGGCCUUGGUAGGACAUCAAAGGGUAAAAAAAUGAAAAAAUCUAAGGGAUCAUCGUCCAAUACAUCUUCAUCAAGAAUUAUAGAGGAGCAAAAAUAAGAGAUAGAAUCCUUAAAUGUUAGAUUGGCUAGAUUGGACGAACAGGAUGCCA